rnacentral:rRNA from 1 species
UGCCAGCCGCCGCGGUAAUACGGAGGGUCCAAGCGUUAAUCGGAAUUACUGGGCGUAAAGCGCGCGUAGGCGGCUUAGUCAGUCGGAUGUGAAAGCCCCGGGCUUAACCUGGGAAUUGCAUUCGAUACUGCUGAGCUAGAGUAUGGGAGAGGGAAGUGGAAUUUCAGGUGUAGCGGUGAAAUUCGUAGAUAUCAGGAGGAACACCGAUGGCGAAGGCAUCUCUCUGGGUCGAGAUUGACGCUGAGGCGCGAAGGCGUGGGUAGCGAACGGGAUUAGAUA